CUUGUGUCAAGUUGACACAAACCAGCCAGUCCACUUGCCUGAAAAAGCUGCAAUCAUAAAGGAGAAACAAACGAACACAAAGAACAGCAUCCAAAAAAAAAAAACUGAGGGUUUCCUUUAAGAAAUAUGGCUUAACUUCAUCCAGCAGCUGGUGGAAGUAAAAGCCGACACCCACAACUAUUCACCGAACUGAACUGGAAUCCAGUUGCAGAGAAGGACGAGUGAAAAGCAAAGGGGUCCAGACCAGGCUGGUGAAACCCACAGAAACAGCUGACUUGAACAUCAGGGAACUCUUGCUCCCCAGACUGAUAGCUGGGAUACCAGCAUGAGACUGAUCCAGCCCCCAGGAACAUGGGUUUCUGUGAGGAAACCUUGGAAAUCUAUGGGAUCUCCUGUAGUUGUUCAGUACUUAUCCCUAGCAUAGGUGUGGACUUUGGGAGCCCAUUCCACAUAGAGGGAUACUCCCUGAGCCAAGACACACGGGGUGGGCCUAGGCCCUAUCCCAAAGGAUGGGAUAGACUCUGAUGACACCCUAUGGAAGGCCUCACUAUCCCUGGGGAACAGAAAGGAUAUGUGACAGGUAGGGUUUUAG
rnacentral:lncRNA from 1 species